rnacentral:rRNA from 1 species
UGGGGAAUAUUGCACAAUGGGCGCAAGCCUGAUGCAGCGACGCCGCGUGGGGGAUGACGGCCUUCGGGUUGUAAACCUCUUUCAGUAGGGACGAAGCGCGAGUGACGGUACCUACAGAAGAAGCACCGGCCAACUACGUGCCAGCAGCCGCGGUAAUACGUAGGGUGCGAGCGUUGUCCGGAAUUACUGGGCGUAAAGAGCUCGUAGGUGGUUUGUCGCGUUGUUCGUGAAAACCGGGGGCUUAACCCUCGGCGUGCGGGCGAUACGGGCAGACUGGAGUACUGCAGGGGAGACUGGAAUUCCUGGUGUAGCGGUGGAAUGCGCAGAUAUCAGGAGGAACACCGGUGGCGAAGGCGGGUCUCUGGGCAGUAACUGACGCUGAGGAGCGAAAAGCGUGGGGGAGCGAAACAGGAUUAGAUACCCUGGUAGUCCACGCCGUAAAACGGUGGGUACUAGGUGUGGGGUUUCCUUCCUUGGGAUCCGGUGCCGUUAGCUAAACGC